GAUGAACGCUGGCGGCGUGCUUAACACAUGCAAGUCGAACGGAAAGGCCCUGCUUUUGUUGGUUUCUCGAUUGGCGAACGGGUGAGUAACACGUGAGUAACCUGCCCCUGACUUUGGGAUAACUUCAGGGAAAUGGGGCUAUUACCGGAUAGGAUCUCCUGCUGCAUGUUGUUGGUUGGAAAGUUUCGGCUGUUGUGGACGGACUCGCGGGUUAUCGGCUUGUUGGUGUGGUAGUGGCUUACCAAGGUUUUGACGGGUAGCCGGCCUCAGAGGGUGACAGGCGACAUUGGGUCCGAGAUGAGGCACAGACUCGGACGGGAGGCAGCAGUGGGGAAUAUUGCACAAGGGGCGGAAGCCGGAUGCAGCAAGGCCGCGUGCGGGAUGACGGUCUUCGGGUUGUAAACCGCUUGCGCCUGUGACGAAGCGUGAGUGACGGUAAUGGGUAAAGAAGCACCGGCUAAAUACGUGC
rnacentral:rRNA from 1 species